rnacentral:rRNA from 1 species
AUACGUAGGGAGCGAGCGUUGUCCGGAAUUACUGGGUGUAAAGGGAGCGUAGGCGGGACGGCAAGUCAGAUGUGAAAUACAUGGGCUCAACCCCUGGGGUGCAUUUGACACUGCUGUUCUUGCGUGAAGUAGAGGUAAGCGGAAUUCCUGGUGUAGCGGUGAAAUGCGUAGAUAUCAGGAGGAACACCGGUGGCGAAGGCGGCUUACUGGGCUUUUACUGACGCUGAGGCUCGAAAGCGUGGGGAGCAAACAGGAUUAGAUACCCUGGUAGUCCACGCUGUAAACGAUGAUCACUAGGUGUGGGGGGACUGACCCCUUCCGUGCCGCAGUUAACACAAUAAGUGAUCCACCUGGGGAGUACGGCCGCAAGGUUGAAACUCAAAUGAAUUGGCGGGG